AGGCGCGUAGCUCAGCUGGCAGAGCGCCUCCCUUACAAGGAGGAGGUCGGCGGUUCAAGUCCGCCCGUGCCUA
rnacentral:tRNA from 1 species